rnacentral:rRNA from 1 species
UACGUAGGGAGCAAGCGUUGUCCGGAAUCAUUGGGCGUAAAGCGCGCGUAGGUGGCCCUGUAAGUCCGUUGUGAAAGUCAAAGGCUCAACCUUUGAAAGCCGAUGGAUACUGCAGGACUAGAGUACGGAAGAGGCGAGUGGAAUUCCUGGUGUAGCGGUGGAAUGCGCAGAUAUCAGGAGGAACACCGGUGGCGAAGGCGGAUCUCUGGGCCUUACCUGACGCUGAGGAGCGAAAGCAUGGGGAGCAAACAGG